GACGAACCGUGCGAACGUUGUUCGGAAUCACUGGGCUUAAAGGGCGCGUAGGCGGCCAGACCAGUCUGGGGUGAAAUCCAUCGGCUCAACCGGUGGACGGCCUGGGAUACUGUCUGGCUGGAGGGGGGUAGGGGCGACGGGAACGGCCAGCGGAGCGGUGAAAUGCGUUGAGAUUGGCAGGAACGCCGGUGGCGAAAGCGCGUCGCUGGACCCCACCUGACGCUGAGGCGCGAAAGCCAGGGGAGCAAACGGG
rnacentral:rRNA from 1 species